rnacentral:rRNA from 1 species
UACGAAGGGUGCUAGCGUUGUUCGGAAUUACUGGGCGUAAAGAGCGCGUAGGCGGUUGUACUAGUCAGGGGUGAAAUCCCAGAGCUUAACUCUGGAACUGCCUUUGAAACUGUGCAGCUGGAGUGUGUGAGGGGAUAGCGGAAUUCCUAAUGUAGAGGUGAAAUUCGUAGAGAUCCGGAGGAACACCGACGGCGAAGGCAGCGCCCUGGCCGCCAUCUGACGCUCAGGCACGAAAGCUGGGGGAGCGAACAGG